rnacentral:tRNA from 4 species
AUUUAUAAAGGUUAUACUCCUUUUCUUUUUA